GACGAACGCUGGCGGCGUGCUUAACACAUGCAAGUCGAACGGAAAGGCCCUGCUUUUGUGGGGUGCGCGAGUGGCGAACGGGUGAGUAACACGUGAGUACCCUGUCCCUGACUUUGGGAUAACUUCAGGAAACUGGGGCUAAUACCGGAUAGGAGCUCCUGCUGCAUGGUGGGGGUUGGAAAGUUUAGGCGGUUGGGGAUGGACUCGCGGCUCAUCAGCUUGUUGGAGGGGUGGUGGCUUAACAAGGCCUUGACGGGUAGCCGGCCUGCGAGGGUGACGAGCCACAGUGGGACUGGGAGAGGGCCCAGACUCCUACGGGAGGCAGCAGUGGGGAAGAUUGAACAAGGGGCGGAAGCCUGAUGCAGCAACGCCGCGUGCGGGAUGACGGCCUUCGGGUUGUAAACCGAAUUCGCCUGUGACGAAGCGUGAGUGACGGUAAUGGGUAAAGAAGCACCGGCUAACUACGUG
rnacentral:rRNA from 1 species